rnacentral:rRNA from 1 species
GCUAAGACUGGAUAGGAAGUUUUAAGGCAUCUUGAAACUUUUAAAAGACCCGCAAGGGUAUGCUGAGAGAUGGGCUUGCGGCACAUUAGUUAGUUGGUAAGGUAACGGCUUACCAAGACCAUGAUGUGUAGCUGGACUGAGAGGUUGAACGGCCACAUUGGGACUGAGAUACGGCCCAAACUCCUACGGGAGGCAGCAGUAAGGAAUUUUCGGCAAUGGAGGAAACUCUGACCGAGCAACGCCGCGUGAACGAUGAAGUAUUUAGGUAUGUAAAGUUCUUUUAUUAAAGAAGAAAAAAUGAUGGAAAAAUCAUUCUGACGGUAUUUAAUGAAUAAGCCCCGGCUAACUAUGUGCCAGCAGCUGCGGUAAUACAUGGGGGGCAAGCGUUAUCCGGAUUUAUUGGGCGUAAAGGGUGCGUAGGCGGUUUAAUAAGUCUAUGGUCUAAGUUCAACGCUUAACGUUGUGAUGCUAUAGAAACUGUUUGACUAGAGUUGGAUAGAGGCAAGCGGAAUUCCAUGUGUAGCGGUAAAAUGCGUAAAGAUAUGGAGGAACACCAGUAGCGAAGGCGGCUUGCUGGGUCUUAACUGACGCUGAGGCACGAAAGCGUGGGGAGCAAACAGGAUUAGAUACCCUGGUAGUCCACGCCGUAAACGAUGAGUACUAAGUGUUGGGUUAAACCAGUGCUGAAGUUAACGCAUUAAGUACUCCGCCUGAGUAGUACGUACGCAAGUAUGAAACUUAAAGGAAUUGACGGGACUCCGCACAAGCGGUGGAUCAUGUUGUUUAAUUCGAAGAUACACGAAAAACCUUACCAGGUCUUGACAUACUCUGCAAAGCUAUAGAAAUAUAGUGGAGGUUAUCAGGGAUACAGGUGGUGCAUGGUUGUCGUCAGCUCGUGUCGUGAGAUGUUGGGUUAAGUCCCGCAACGAGCGCAACCCUUAUCGCUAGUUACCAUCAUUUAGUUGGGCACUUUAGUGAGACUGCCAAUGAUAAAUUGGAGGAAGGUGGGGAUUACGUCAAAUCAUCAUGCCCCUUAUGACCUGGGCUACAAACGUGAUACAAUGGCUGUUACAAAGAGUAGCUGAAGCGUGAGUUUUUAGCAAAUCUCAAAAAAACAGUCUCAGUUCGGAUUGAAGUCUGCAACUCGACUUCAUGAAGUCGGAAUCGCUAGUAAUCGCGAAUCAGCAUGUCGUGGUGAAUACGUUCUCGGGGUUUGUACACACCGCCCGUCAAACCAUGAAAGUUGACAAUACCCGAAACCAGUAGCCUAACUUGCAAAAGAGGGAACUGUCUAAGGUAGGGUUGAUGAUUGGGGUUAAGUCGUAACAAGGUAUCCCUACCGGA